rnacentral:rRNA from 1 species
CAUGCCUAAUACAUGCAAGUCGAACGAGAUCUUCGGAUCUAGUGGCGCACGGGUGCGUAACGCGUGGGAAUCUGCCCUUGGGUUCGGAAUAACUUCUGGAAACGGAAGCUAAUACCGGAUGAUGACGUAAGUCCAAAGAUUUAUCGCCCAAGGAUGAGCCCGCGUAGGAUUAGGUAGUUGGUGAGGUAAAGGCUCACCAAGCCGACGAUCCUUAGCUGGUCUGAGAGGAUGAUCAGCCACACUGGGACUGAGACACGGCCCAGACUCCUACGGGAGGCAGCAGUAGGGAAUAUUGGACAAUGGGCGAAAGCCUGAUCCAGCAAUGCCGCGUGAGUGAUGAAGGCCUUAGGGUUGUAAAGCUCUUUUACCCGGGAUGAUAAUGACAGUACCGGGAGAAUAAGCUCCGGCUAACUCCGUGCCAGCAGCCGCGGUAAUACGGAGGGAGCUAGCGUUGUUCGGAAUUACUGGGCGUAAAGCGCACGUAGGCGGCUAUUCAAGUCAGAGGUGAAAGCCCGGGGCUCAACCCCGGAACUGCCUUUGAAACUAGAUAGCUUGAAUCCAGGAGAGGUGAGUGGAAUUCCGAGUGUAGAGGUGAAUUCGUAGAUAUUCGGAAGAACACCAGUGGCGAAGGCGGCU